AUUGAACGCUGGCGGCAGGCCUAACACAUGCAAGUCGAGCGAGCGGCGGACGGGUGCGUAAUGUUUGGGAAACUGCCUGUUGGAGGGGGAUAACUACUGGAAAAGGUAGCUAAUACCGCAUACCAUCAGAUGUGCCCAGAGGGGAUUAGCUCGUGGGUGGGGUAAUGGCUCACAUAGGCGACGAUCCCUAGCUGGCCUGAGAGGAUGACCAGCCACACUGGAACUGAGACACGGCCCAGACUCCUACGUGAGGCAGCAGUGGGGAAUAUUGCACAAUGGGCGCAAGCCUGAUGCAGCCAUGCCGCGUGAGUGAAGAAGGCCUUCGGGUUUUAAAGCACUUUCAGCGGGGAGGCGUUACCCGCAGAAGAAGCACCGGCUAACUCCGUGCCAGCAGCCGCGGUAAUAC
rnacentral:rRNA from 1 species